GCCAAUCGAACUCGGAGAUAGCUGGUUCUCCUCGAAAUAGCUUUAGGGCUAGCGUCAUGUAAUAUAGCCAACGGGGGUAGAGCUCUGUAAACGACUGGGGCGGGCAACUGUACCCACCGUUAACAAACUACGAAUACCGUUGGUGGUACCAUGGCAGUUAGAACAUCGGGGCUAAGCUCGGUGCUCAAAAGGGAAACAGCCCAGACCAUCAUCUAAGGUCCCUAAAUUAACACUAAGUGGGAAACAAGGUGAAAUUUCUUAAACAGCGAGGAUGUUGGCUUAGAAGCAGCCAUUCAUUUAAAGAGUGCGUAACAGCUCACUCGUCAAGAGAUUUUGCGUGGAAAAUGUAACGGGGCUAAAGUGUUAUACCGAAGAUAUGGAUUUCGUUAUUCCUACGGGUUUAACGGAGUGGUAGAGGAGCGUUCCUAUCGGCUGUGAAGCUCAAUCGUAAGGUUGGGUGGAGCGUUAGGAAGUGAGAAUGCUGGAAUGAGUAACCAUAAGAAAGGUGAGAAUCCUUUCGGCCGUAAGAGCGAGGUUUCCAGGGCUACUGUAAUAAUCCCUGGGUUAGUCGGGCCUAAGCCGAGGCGUAGCAGCGUAGGCGAUGGACAUCAGGUUAAUAUUCCUGAACCGGUUAUAAUUUGUAUACUGUGUACGGUAAAUUAGUCGAAGCGGAUUAUUGGUAUAUAUCCGUCCAACUUAGCGGGAACGCAAAAGGAGUGAAAGUUAAUCUACGGAUUAACGAUUUUGAUGAAAGUACUGGCUAGAAAAGCAGAUAUACGCGUGGUUAUAGCCGCCCGUACCGCAAACCAACACAGGUGCUCGAGUCGAGUAGACUCAGGCUUACGAGAGACCCUUCGCUAAGGAACUCGGCAAAACAGCGACCGUAACUUCGGGAUAAGGUCUGCCUCCGCAUCAUUCGAUGCGAGUCGUGUUUCAAGCAAUUAGGUUAAGAUUAAUGGUAUAUAUGAGUAUCUUAAACUUCUUUACCGAGAUAGAACAAGUCAAAUGGCUUAGCUUGGAACGUGGCAAACUCGUAUCAAACGAUGCGGAGGCCGCAGCAAAAGAGCCCACGGAACUGUUUACCAAAAACACAGGUCUCUGCGAACACGAAAGUGGAUGUAUAGGGGCUGACUCCUGCCCAGUGCUGGAAGGUUAAGGGGAGUGCUUUACGGUGCGAACUGAAGCCCCAGUGAACGGCGGCGGUAACUAUAACCGUCCUAAGGUAGCGAAAUUCCUUGUCAGGUAAGUUCUGACCCGCACGAAUGGAGUAAUCAUGUGGGCACUGUCUCGGCGAAGGACUCGGUGAAAGUGCAUUGGCGGUAAAGAUGCCGUCUGUCCAUGCCAGGACGAGAAGACCCCAUGGAGCUUUACUACAGCUUUACAUUGACACGGGUUACAUCAUGUGUAGCAUAGGUGGGAGGCUUUGAAGCAGAUACGCCAGUAUUUGUGGAGCCACAGGUGAAAUACCACCCUUGAUGUAGUCUUUGUCUUACCAUUGCCGUUAUCCGGUAAUGGGACCGUGUAUGGUGGGUAGUUUAACUGGGGCGGUUGCCUCCUAAAGAGUAGCGG
rnacentral:rRNA from 1 species